ACAGCAGUAGUUAGCUAAUAACUCGGUUAACUAAGCUAGCUGUUAUAAUAUUUCAGCGCUUGUUUCAGCUUUUCUCUGUGGUUUUUAUUUUAUUUACUACAGUCAUAUGUGUUGUUUAUUUAGGCCACUCACACUGUGCAGAUUAUUAGUUGGGUAGUAAUCUACAGGCUUCAGCAGUAGGCUAUCUGUCCUGCACUUUUAAUGGGGAUUUAACAGGUCCUCAGUUCUUCAUGACAUGGAUUCCAAAAGAUGUUGGUAAAAAUUCCCUUGAGAUUCUGCUUCUUGCUGACAUGAUUGCGUCACGCAAUUCCUGCAGAUUUUCCAGGAGCACUUAUAAACUGCAAAUCUUCCAUUUUACCAAAUCCCAAAGAGGAAGAAAGUGAUCACCGCAGCUAUGAGCAGGAUAUGGUUGCUGUUUUCCGUCGAUGAGGUGGUGAAAUGCAAGUCUAGGUGAUGCACAUGGAUUGCAUUUCAUGUAUGAGCACAGCAAAGCAGCAUCAAGGAUGAUGAGGUUGCAUGGCAUUGACCCCUUCCUUGCGGAGAAGCAGCACACUGCAAACAGAGCAGAAUCCGGUGAAGGGCAGAUGUCAGAGUGGCCACUAUCAGCCUGGACUCAGCCUGGCUUCACCAACAAGGGAGUGGGGUAGGGGUACUGAGACAGAGAGAGCCCACGGGCCUGUAACUGUCACCCCAUCCAUGCAGAGACAGCACCACCACGGACCCUGGCUGUAGUUCUAUAAACACCUCUCCAUUCAGAGUGACCACCAGGGAAUUCACCAUUCAGGUAAACAGAUAAGAAAAUACCCCAGUGUUUGCUCUCCCAAUUAGAGCCUCCUGAUUUACUACCAGCCCACAGACUCACGUAUCACUUACACACUGCGUUUGUGACUGUGUGACUGCAUUUUCUGAAAAAAAACUUAAGUUUUUUUUAUAAAGCACUAACGCUAUAUAUCAGUAGCUGAUGUAUCUGAAUUAUAAACCUGUACACACACAAAGUAACAAAAUGCAGUACAACUGUGAUUUACCUACUUAAUUUGUCUGAAUAGCCCUGUUUAAUUACAAAAACAAGCCCUGCUGUGGAAUUAGGAUUAGUUUUUUUUUUCACUUUCUUUUCCUUUUCCUGAUUAAAAUGUAGUGUAAUUGCCUGAAUAACCUAAUACUACUAGGGGUUUAACAUGGGGACACAUUGAUACAUUAUCACACCACAAUGCAAGACAAAUAAAGGUGUGCCACAUGGAGAAAAGUGGAGAAAAUAUGGGGAGAUUUUCAGCUCUCGUGCAUUUUUUUUUGCUUAUUUGAAACAUAUAAAGAAACAUUAUGUAAAAAAAAUAAUUGACCAUAAAAUAACAUCAUUAAAAUCAAGUGUUUCACAUAUUUUUUUAAAUAUA